rnacentral:rRNA from 1 species
UAGAGGUGAUGGGGGAAUGAGUCUUCGGACAAACCAACUGCCCCUAAUCAUACUGCCGAGAAAAACCUCUAUGUUAAUGUUGUAUCUGCCCGUACCGUAAUCCGACACAGGUAGGUGAGGAGAAUAUCCUAAGGUGCUCGAGCUAACCCACGUUAAGGAACUAGGCAAAAUGGCCCCGUAACUUCGGAAGAAGGGGUGCUCCUAAGUAGGUGAGAGAGUUCGCCUCUCAAGCUGAAUGGAGUCACAGUAAAGUGGCCUGGGUGACUGUUUACUAAAAACACAUGUCUCUGCUAAGCCCUAAGGCGACGUAUAGGGACUGACACCUGCCCGGUGCUGGAAGGUUAAGAGGAGGGUUCAGCUGUAUUUAUAUAGCGAAGCUCUCAAUCGAAGCCCCAGUAAACGGCGGCCGUAACAAUAACGGUCCUAAGGUAGCGAAAUUCCUUGUCGGGUAAAUUCCGACCUGCACGAAUGGUGUAACUAUUUGGGCGCUGUCUCAACGUGGGACUCGGUGAAACUGUAGCAGCGGUGAAGAUGCCGCUUUCCCGCAUCGGGACGAAAAGACCCCGUGCACCUUUACUAUAACCUGGCAUUGUCAUUUGGACGGGCAUGUAGAGCAUAGGUGGGAGGCUGUGAAACUGGAGCGCUAGCUUCGGCGGAGCCAUCACUGGAAUACCACCCUUGUUUUUUCGGAUGUCCAACCUCGGUCCUUGAAACAGGAUGAGGAACACUGCCAGGCGGGUAGUUUGACUGGGGCGGUCGCCUCCCAAAGAGUAACGGAGGCGUACAAAGGUCUGCUCAGGCUGUUUGGUAAUCAGCUGUAGAGCGCAAGGGUAUAAGCAGGCUUAACUGCGAGACGUACAUGUCGAGCAGGAACGAAAGUUGGUCCUAGUGAUCCGGCGGUUGCGCGUGGAAGUGCCGUCGCUUAACGGAUAAAAGGUACGCCGGGGAUAACAGGCUUAUCUCCUCCGAGAGUUCACAUCGACGAGGGGGUUUGGCACCUCGAUGUCGGCUCAUCACAUCCUGGGGCUGGAGAAGGUCCCAAGGGUUCGGCUGUUCGCCGAUUAAAGUGGUACGUGAGCUGGGUUUAGAACGUCGUGAGACAGUUCGGUCUCUAUCUGAUGCGGGCGAAGGAAAUUUGAGGGGCUCUGACCCUAGUACGAGAGGACCAGGUCGGACCGACCGCCGGUGCACCUGUUGCUACGCCAGUAGCAUAGCAGGGUAGCUGCGUCGGGAAGGGACAAGCGCUGAAUGCAUCUAAGUGCCAAGCCCACCCCAAGAUAAGAUUUCCCUAUCGAAAGAUCUAAAGGCACCUGGAAGAUGACCAGGUUGAUAGGUCACAGAUGUAAGCCCUGUGAGGGGUUCAGUCGAGUGAUACU